CCUACGGGUGGCAGCAGUGAGGAAUAUUGGUCAAUGGACGAGAGUCUGAACCAGCCAAGUAGCGUGUAGGAUGACUGCCCUAUGGGUUGUAAACUUCUUUUAUAUGGGAAUAAAAUGUUCCACGUGUGGGAUUUUGUAUGUACCAUAUGAAUAAGGAUCGGCUAACUCCGUGCCAGCAGCCGCGGGAAUACGGAGGGUCCGGGCGUUAUCCGGAUUUAUUGGGGUUAAAGGGAGCGUAGGUGGAUUGUUAAGUCAGUUGUGAAAGUUUGCGGCUCAACCGUAAAAUUGCAGUUGAAACUGGCAGUCUUGAGUACAGGAGAGGUGGGCGGAAUUCGUGGUGUAGCGGUGAAAUGCUUAGAUAUCACGAAGAACUCCGAUUGCGAAGGCAGUUCACUGGACUGCAACUGACACUGAGGCUCGAAAGUGUGGGUAUCAAACAGGAUUAGAUACCCGUGUAGUC
rnacentral:rRNA from 1 species